UGCCACUAGUGAACGUGUUGAACUACGGUAACAUCAAUGGAGAUAUCAUGAAAAUCCCGAUGGAUUGUGUGCCGCAUCUGAUGUUGACGAGAGGUCGCGUUAAUGUUAUGAGCUUACGGCCACCACAGCCAGUUCAGCCGUAGUAUCCACAUUACUCCUGUCCAUACCGAAUUUCUAAAAACGAGGAAGCCAUGAUAAUAGAUGAUUUCAAAAAAUGUUUGAACCAUCAUAGAGAGCUACUUGGAAGCAACAUUGUGCGUAGGCCAAGACUUGGAGACAGGAUGAUCUCCGUUCUUUAUUAUGAAGAGUCAAUUUUCCUUAAUGCAGCGUCAAUGCCUAUCUUGUUUUAUGAUAUUUUACCAAAGAGAGGGUAGAGUAGGUCCUAUGAGAGAAGUAGGUCGUAGCUAGAAUGUGUUAUUAUGUGCUACAAUGUGUUAGAGUUGAUGAUGAUGAUGAUGAGUUGUGAUUAUGACUAGUAACCAACUUGUUAUAUGAUGUCUCAUUGACGAACAUUGUUUGAUGGUGAUGACAAGUGGUAAUGGAUAAGCUAUUUAAACAGACUA